rnacentral:lncRNA from 1 species
CCGAGUCUGUGCUGAGCACAACGCAGCUCCGCCCUCGCAAAGGCACAGCGCGGGCGCAGGCGCCCAGAGGCGCACAGGAGACCUCAGGCCCAGACUCCACUCCCCAGCUGUGAAAGGACUGCUGGCCAGACCCCCAAGCUAGCCCGCCAGGCCUCCAUAGAGCUGCCCAGCAUGGCUGCAUCCAGUACCAAGAGUUGGUGGGAGACGGGUGAGGUAUAGGCUCAGUCUGCGGCCAAGACUCCGUCCUGCAAGAUGGACUCUGUGACUACAUGACUAAUAAAAUAUGGCAGAAAUGACACCAUGCAGUUUCCAAGCCCAGGCCUUAGGAGACAGGCAGCUUCCAGUUCAGUCUUUUGGAGGGUCAGCUCUGGGGCCCUCAGCCAUCACGCAUGGAGUCCAAC